UUGGCCUCCCAAAGUGCUGGGAUUAUAGGCAUGAGCCACUGUGCCCAGCCCCCAUUCAUUCUUGAAGUUCCAACUCAAACAUUACUUCCUAUGAGAAGCCUAAGCCAACUCCCCAGGCUAAAUUAAUAGCCCCAUUCCACCCCUGGUGCCUACUGAACUAGUGUCUCUAGUCCAGCACUUCUAAUACUGCUUUUUAACAUUCAUUACAUACAUACAAGUAUCUAUGGAGCGCUACUGUGUGUGCCAGGCACAGUGGUAAGGGCUUUACAUAACUUUUUAGGAUAAUCCUCACCAGGAUCUGUCAACAGCCGCCAUCACCCCCCUUCUACAGGCAGGAAGUAGGGUCUCUGAGAGGCCCAGUAAUUUGCUUAGAGUGAUAGGAUCUGUAGAGGAGGGAUUUCAACCCAGGGUGUUUUAGUGUUGAGCCUUCUCCCUUCUCCUGGCUAAACUGCAUUAACCACCUUCAGCUCUGUGGAUUAUCUGCAGCCCCCACCCCCAGCUGCAGCCUGUUGGGAGUAGAAUCCCCCAAGAUUGUUCUCUGGAUCCCCCUUGGCCUCACCCCAUAGAGGGAGCUGGUGAUGAUCUGUUAACUAACGUCAACUUGAUGCUUGAGCUUUCUCAUGAAAUUGUAUGGAGAUAAAACCUUUGGCUCCAAAGACUGUAGCCAAUACUACAUGCAUAAAAAUAGCCUAGCAGUCAGGAAAAUCCACAGUUGAGUGUUAGUGGCUAGCACAUGAUUUCCUUGACACUCAGGGCUUUUGUAGUUGAAAACAGGGGCUUUUGAAUGCCAGAGGAGCCUUUUUCUUAAAGACUAAACCUAAAUAACAUCAGUGCUAUUCAUCUCAAGGCUUGAAACUUCUGACAUCACUUGUUCAUCCCUAGUCUGCGCCGCUCUGUGUUGGGUCAAAAUCACAACCAAACAGCUGACACAGCUUCUGCACAACCAGGUGUGCAUUUGGGAGCCACUGGUUGCCUCUUUGUGUUCCCUCUUGCCCAGGGACAAGCCACAACUCCCAGACUUCUGAAGUAGCUCAAAGAAUGGAAAGGUGUGCCUAAAAUAAGAAAUUCAAACAAAUGUUAAAAAAAAAAAAAAAAGAUUUUUAUUUGUGUGUGUGUGUGACUAUGUGCUUAUCUCAUCAACUUUUAUUGAGUCUCUUUAUGCAGGCUUCCUUGGCAAAGAAGUGAAGGUCUUUGAGGCAAGGAUUUCUGGGAUCCUGGGGCCAGAAGGACCCUCGCCAUCAGAAACAGAUUUGAAGAUUCAAAAGACCUUACCUCUGAAAGUGUUGUACUACAAGCAGCAGCAAGGAAAAGCCAGGCCGCACCUUCCACACUUUACUUGGAAAUCUCCUCAGGGACGUGUUUGAAAAUUCCAGUUGCUUCACAUCCUCGUCUUUAUUUGGCAACACAUUUUAAGAGGAAUAUUGACAAGCUAAACUACGUCCAGAUGAGAGCAAACAAGAUGCUGAGAAAACUCAUAGCAGUUGUAAAGUAAAAGAGCACAUUAUUCACCUUCACACUAAUGAAGACUGGCUACUUGACCCAAUCCAUUCUCUCUUCGAAUGCCAGCUGGAUUGGAAUUGAGGUUUUCGGGAAGACGUGGCAUAGCAGAACUUGUGUUUCAGACAAUGGUGUUUAAAUAAAGAUGAGCUGGGCUUGGCGCCACACCUACGCCUGGCCUUCCCCAGCCAAAGCAGAAAGAGGGUUGCGCAACUCUUCAAGCAGUGCAGGGCUUCAGUACAGCUGGUUCUGCUUCCUUACCUUGCAAACAAUCACCAAGAGUUACAGGACUCUCACCAGGGGCGUUCGCUUCUUUUGCCUCCUCAGCCUCACUACAUCCCUGAGUAGUUGGUUGUGCUUCCAAUUGCCCUUCUUCAUGCAGAGCUGCGGGAAGCCUGGACAAGUGACGUGAUUGUCCUGGCUCCAACAGUCCUGGAGGUGGUCUUUGAGUUUUGGUUUCCAAGCACCCAGGUGUUUUAACAUCUAACGCUUUCUCCUGUGGGAUUUCAGCCGGGUUGGAUCUUCUCUGGCUAAGUAUGAGUUAAGUGAACCCAGCUGUUUUGGAGAUUGGGUCGCUGAAUUGUUCUUUCUGGCCCCUUCUGCCUAUUACUUUGCUUUGGAACAGAAAUUCCACUGCAUCUGCCUGCGGAGAACUCAGCUGCAUCUUCUUGGAUCCAUCAGCACUCGCUGACAAACAAGGAAACUGGAUCCAUGUUGGACACACACUCUUCUCAGUUAUGUACUUUGUCUCUCUGUAAUCCCUCUGGUAUUGACAAAUAGAGCUCCGGGACACGGCGGCUGUGACAGCUCCCGCAGACAGCAUGUAUUAGCAUUCGCAUUAUCGUCCUGGCCCUGACGGCCUGGGCACUGGAGAGAGGAUUAAGUGAUUAGUAGUGUGUAUGUUACAACCAUCUUUUUAUUCCUUGGGACUUUUCAGUUUUGCUCACUUCAUAAAGACGUAAAAGAGGGCUCUGAGUAAAAACAGAUGCAUUUAUAUGUUUCUUUGGGUCUGAUGGGCAGCAUAUGUCGCAGACAUUUGGAUGAUGUUGAGACAUUAUCAAAUUUCUUCAUGAACACAGCAAAUCAUCUUGCCUUUGUGAAAACUAUUGGUUUAAGGGCUGGCUUCAAGGUAUAUUAAUUAAAAAAAAAGAUCUGUUUGCAUCUCCAGUGUAUUUUAUUUGAUGAACUGGCUGGCCUGUGAAGGUCUGUAGGUUGGAUAAUCAUUUAGUAAACUUUGUUCCCUGGAAAUUUACUAAACAGGAGAUUGAUGUCAGGGUGCUUUGACCCUGAGAUGGGUUUAACGUGAUUGUUAAAUCUAAUCAUUUUAAAUGGCAUUUUUUUUCCUGAUUUGAUCAAAUUCUCUAAAAUAUUCAUCCACAAGAAGAGGUCCAAAGAAAUGUUAGUCAUCUCUCACACUGUCAUUUUUAUGAGUAAUAUUAUCUUAUACAUUUCUAGGGUGGAAAAGUCUAUCACAGUCAUUACAAAUUAGAACCUUUAGUCUUUAUCAUAGAGUUUGAUUUUUACAUUGUAAAAUGUUGACCUCGUAUUUUACAUGUUAAUAUUCCUCUUCACUCAUUC